rnacentral:lncRNA from 10 species
CUUCCCAGGCCCCGCCGCGGGCCGCCCCGGCCCCCAGCCCGCCCCGGGGCCGCCGCGCCCGGGGUCCGGGACACCGGAGGGGAGUCAGGUCCCCUCCCCGGAGAGCUCCGGGAGCUCGCGGAGCGGCCCCAGGAGCAGAGAAGGGGGAAGUCAGGACUUACCUGUCAUUACUUUCUACGCCAUCUUGGAUCCACUUGUCAACGUCCCCACAAAGCAUUAUGGGUAAGAAAGAGCCUUUAAAGUGACUCCCCCCGGCCCCCGACUCCCGCCUCCCGCCGCCGGCGCCGCCCCCUCCGGCCGCGCCUCCCGCCCGGAAAGUUGCCCCGGGUGGACCGCCGACCCCGGCGCCCGCAGCUGGCCCCCUCCCCUCCCCCGGGCUGACGGCAUUGAAAAUUCACCCGCAUUUUUAAAACGUGGCUUUGGGGUUUUCUCUUUUUCUCCUGCCCUGGCCUCCCUGCCCCCACGCCCGGUCCUCUUGCCCCGCCGCGCUCCUGCCCGGGCAGACGCCCCGCGUCUGCAUUGAAUCAGCCCGAGGUUUCCUUGCCGCCGGCGACGCGGAGCUGCUCGCGGAUUUAUUUGUGCGCGUGGAUGUGAGCCUUUCUGCUCCUGCGGCCGCGCUUCCAGGAAGCCAGCGAGCGGCCGGGGUCGCCUUCAGGGCCGGGCAGACCAGCUCCGCACCCGCCACCCGGAGAGGUGCCUCUGCCCUGGGAAACCGCCCCGGGACCGCCGGGCUCCGGGAACUGGGAGGACGCCGUGUCCCCGAGUCCACCAGCGUCGAAGCACGAUUUUAAAAAAAAGAAAAAAAUGAGCCAAAUGCAACUUUUUACCCCUUGUUUACUCUGCCUCCCGCGGUCUCCUCCUCCCGGCGGGUAACGUGAUCCGCGACCCUCUAGGUGGGGACCCCUCCCCUAGGAAUGUGGCUCCGGGCCCCGCGGAUCCAGCCUGGGAGCGUCCGGGCUGCGGACUGUGACUCCGGGGCAGGUCCUACUGCAACUCGAAUGAUACUUAGACUCCACAAGACCAACUUCCUAUUUCUACAUCAGCGAAGGUUCGGAGUGGAGCUUUUCAUUCAACAAAGACCUCGGGAAGCACAGAGUUCGGUGACGAAUUCUCACAUGGUGAGCCUGGUCUUCAGAGGUGUUAAGAUGUCGUGGGAAAGCAGAAAGCACCAUGUUUAG